GAGCUGAGUGGUAUUCUGCAUUAAAAAUGAGUUGCAUUAAUUGGGGUCAGUCACUAUUCUCUUCUUACUACCCCACAGUUCUCUAUUCUAAUAAUUCACAUCUAAUUCUCAUGUUCUGUGCAAUACCUUUCUAAUGACCACAUUUUAUACUGUUCUCAUAUAUAAUGUUUGAGUGUUCCUGACUUUGAUAUACACUUCAACUUACACCAGAAAUAAUCAAACGUGUUCUAAUUCUCCCCUGUUUUGGUUCAAGAGUGAGUGGGUACUUACUGUGAAGUGCCCUAUUUUGAUUACUCUUGAGUUGAUAAAAUAAUAACUUGUUGGCACAUUAUAGGAGUUAAGAGUGAGGUGUUUUUUUUCCAGUUGAUCAUCAUACUCCCAUUUUGUCAAUUGACCUAUUUGCUAUGUGGGUGUAGUUAAACAAUUAUGAAAGUGGCUCAAAGUAGGGUUGGUCUUUUUUUACAAUAAGACUUAAUACUGAUUCAUAACACAUUCUGUACAUUUGAGUUUAACUGAUCUCUAGGAAUUACAAAAUACAUGAGUACAUGAACAUUGUUGAAUUUAUGCUGCUUACUUUGGCUUUCCUGCUGAUGGGUCCAUGAUCAGUUUGUCCUAAAGUAAGCAUUGUAGGUGCUAUUGCAUCCGAUGAAGUGAGCUGUAGCUCACGAAACCUUAUGCUCAAAUAAAUUUUAGUCUCUAA